rnacentral:rRNA from 1 species
GAUGAACGCUGGCGGCGUGCCUAAUACAUGCAAGUCGAGCGAACAGACGAGGAGCUUGCUCCUCUGACGUUAGCGGCGGACGGGUGAGUAACACGUGGAUAACCUACCUAUAAGACUGGGAUAACUUCGGGAAACCGGAGCUAAUACCGGAUAAUAUAUUGAACCGCAUGGUUCAAUAGUGAAAGACGGUUUUGCUGUCACUUAUAGAUGGAUCCGCGCCGCAUUAGCUAGUUGGUAAGGUAACGGCUUACCAAGGCAACGAUGCGUAGCCGACCUGAGAGGGUUAUCGGCCACACUGGAACUGAGACACGGUCCAGACUCCUACGGGAGGCAGCAGUAGGAAAUCUUCCGCAAUGGGCGAAAGCCUGACGGAGCAACGCCGCGUGAGUGAUGAAGGUCUUCGGAUCGUAAAACUCUGUUAUUAGGGAAGAACAAAUGUGUAAGUAACUAUGCACGUCUUGACGGUACCUAAUCAGAAAGCCACGGCUAACUACGUG